GCCCGCCUAGCUCAAUCGGCCAGAGCGUCAGACUUUUACGCAGUGGCGGACGACAUCUGAAGGCUGCGAGUUCGACCCUCGCGGUGGGCU